rnacentral:hammerhead_ribozyme from 1 species
AUUCAGCUGACGAUUCUCGAAUAGGAAGAAACAUGCGUCAUGGAU